CGCGGCCUAUCAGCUUGUUGGUGAGGUAAAGGCUCACCAAGGCAUUGACGGGUAGCUGGUCUGAGAGGACGAUCAGCCACACUGGGACUGAGACACGGCCCAGACUCCUGCGGGAGGCAGCAGUGGGGAAUCUUGCGCAAUGGGCGAAAGCCUGACGCAGCAACGCCGCGUGGGGGAUGAAGGCUCUCGGGUUGUAAACCCCUUUCAGCAGGGACGAAAUUGACGGUACCUGUAGAAGAAGCCCCGGCCAACUACGUGCCAGCAGCCGCGGUAACACGUAGGGGGCGAGCGUUGUCCGGAAUUAUUGGGCGUAAAGGGCUCGUAGGCGGUUCGGUAAGUCAGAUGUGAAAGGUUGGGGCUCAACCCUAAGACUGCAUUUGAUACUGCCGUGACUAGAGUCCGGUAGAGGAGUGUGGAAUUCCUGGUGUAGCGGUGAAAUGCACAGAUAUCAGGAGGAACACCGACGGCGAAGGCAGCACUCUGGGCCGGUACUGACGCUGAGGAGCGAAAGCGUGGGUAGCAAACAGGAUUAGAUACCCUGGUAGUCCACGCCGUAAACGUUGGGCACUAGGUGUGGGACCUUAUCAACGGGUUCCGUGCCGUAGCUAACGCAUUAAGUGCCCCGCCUGGGGAGUACGG
rnacentral:rRNA from 1 species